rnacentral:lncRNA from 1 species
CUCCUUCUGUCAUUUAUGAUACCCCAUUCCAGAAACGUUUACUCCUUCCAAUUGAUUCAACUGUCUCUAAUGUACAGGUUUUUUUUUUCUUCUUCAUCUUCUCAAAUGCUGCCUCUUUUAUCUGGGUUUUGUUAUUUGAUUUGUUUAAAGGAGUUCUGUUCGUCGUGAAUGAUUUUGUUGUUUGAAGCGCUUUUCAUUGUAAAGUUCAAUCAAUACAUUGUUUGGUAGAUUGAUUGAAUUGAGAUUCUUAGAUUUAUUAAGGCUUUGUUCUCAGAAGAAAUCAGACUUGUAUGAUUAUCGCAUGCUUGAUAAUGUAUAUAAAUGUAUCUUUCAGGCUAUCUUUGUCUAUAUAUUAUUCUUCUGUUUACAAAUAAGUGUGAAUCUUUUCCUAUAACUUAGUAGAUGUGGUUUAUAGAUUCAUAUUUUUGGCUUUGAUUUCACAGGUACGUUUACAUGGCUAAAGAAUUAAACUUCUGAAACUGUGGCACUAAAAAAAAACUGUAUGGACAAUAAAAAAGAAGGACCUCUAAGCUACAUUCUACUACUACCUUAGAAAAAGUUGCAAAUUUUGUGAAUCCAAUAUGAUUUAUAAUUCUUGUAUCACUAUUUGCUUCAAGUUUCCGAUAACAGCUAUGGGAGAUUAAAACUCUGAAGAAGCUUCAUCAUGAAAACACUUCAGAAGCUCCGCUAAAGAGGCUUGAAGUUUGAUAUUUAGAGUUUUGUGGCUUUUUGUCUUUCAACAAUUAAACUGUACCAGUCUUAUUGCACCUUCUUGGAGAUUAGAAUCCCCUCUAUAAUCUGAUUAAAGGAAAGCCAGUUUUUGGCCACCAUUUUCUUGGAGUAGAAAAACUCAUCCCAUAAUUAGGCAAUUCAUAUUGUUUAUCUUAUAAUGCACACACUCAUAGAUUGGUCGCCCUCUUAACAAUACUGGUUGUUCAUUUAGUUCCUUUUUCAACAAAUUAACAGCAAAGCAGG